rnacentral:misc_RNA from 1 species
GAUGAAGAACGUAGUGAAAUGCGAUACGUAAUGUGAAUUGCAGAAUUCAGUGAAUCAUCGAGUCUUUGAACGCGCAUUGCGCCCCCUGGUAUUCCGGGGGGCAUGCCUGUCCGAGCGUCAUUGCUGCCCUCAAGCACGGCUUGUGUGUUGGGCCUCCGUCCUCCUCCCGGGGGACGGGCCCGAAAGGCAGCGGCGGCACCGCGUCCGGUCCUCGAGCGUAUGGGGCUUCGUCACCCGCUCUUGUAGGCCCGGCCGGCGCUUGCCGACACAUCAAUCUUUUUUCCAGGUUGACCUCGGAUCAGGUAGGGAUACCCGCUGAACUUAAGCAUAUCAAUAAGCGGAGA